rnacentral:lncRNA from 1 species
CUUGACAUCCUAAUCUUUCCAACGAGUGGUCGUUUACUCAAAACGGAUAUCGUUUGAUAUUUUAAUUAAAGUGCGAAAGUUAAGGUGUUGUUGCUAUGUUUGUGCAGAAAAACUGAUUUUAAAAGAAUAAUCUUGAUUCCUUUUGUCAAAAGUGUUUUCAAUUAUAUGAAAUGUUUUAAUUUACUUUGAUAUUUUCACUUAGCUUCAUUGUGUUGAUUCCAAUUUUUUGUUUACUUUCUUAAAUGGCAAGAUGAAAUAAUUUGUUUAUAAUCAUAUAUAUAUUAACUCAAUCAAUGUACCAAUCAUAUUUUCAUUUGUAUGUUUUACUAAUGAAUUUUGAAAUAAUGAAUAUGAAGUGAACCAAACACUAGCUACUUUAGGCUUCUUUGGAGUUGAGAAGNNNNNNNNNNNNNNNNNNNNNNNNNNNNNNNNNNNNNUGUUCUCAAUAUCUCAUCUUGAUAUCCUUCAUUCAAUAAUUAGGUGACUAAUCUACCACAUCUUUCUAACAUCACAUGCAACCUUCCUUUCAUGAUCAUAUGAUGCCAUCAUUACUUCUCUAUCAUCAUUAUAUCUAUUACUAGCUAUUGUUAUCAUGAUUAUCCCUAUUACUAGCUAUCAUAUAAUGAUUAUACCUAUUAUCUUUAUUUCUUGCUUCAUGUGACAUGUGUAAAGAAGUGAAGAGACAAGUGGCAUCAUGCAUGUAUGCCAAUGAAUAAGUGUCUUCAUAGAUGAAUUCAUUAACCCUAUGUAAACCAACUCCUCCUAAAACUACAUUCACACACUAAUUUUACCAUCAUUGUAACUUAUCAUUAAUAAAUUAAUAACUUAUGACUAAUCUACCACAUCUUUCUAACAUCACAUGCAACCUUCCUUUCAUGAUCACAUGAUGCCAUCAUGGCUUCUCUAUCACAUUAUAUUUAUUACUAGCUAUUCAUAUCAUGAUUAUCCCUAAUACUAGCUGUCAUAUCAUGAUUAUACCUAUUAUCUCUAUUUCUUGCUUCAUGUGACAUGUGUAAAGAAGUGAAGAGACAUGUAUGUCAAUGAAUAAGUGUCUUCAUAGAUGAAUUCAUCAACCCUAUGUAAACCAACUCCUCCUAAAACUACAUUCACAUACUAAUUUUACCAUCAUUGUAACUUAUGAUUAAUAAAUUAUAUUUUAAAUUUUCUUUUAAGUAAUUAGUCUAUUUUUUUUAUGUAGCAUUUUUUAAUUUGAAUUUAUGUUUAGCAUGUUAGUUGUUUAUGUGUCAUUCACAUGAUGCAAUGAUUUCAUUGUUAUGAAUUCUAUUGGCAUGACUUCUUUAUCAAUUCUAUUGAUUGCAUGUAUUCUUGGAACUUGCUAUCAUGUCCUUCAUAAAAUUCUUAUCAUGCAAUCAUUCCUCCUACCUAUACCUAUAUUUUGAAUAGUACUCAUAUGUCCCAAAUAGCACUCAUUUGUCCCAAAUUACAAAUAGUAACCUUCUUUCAAAUAGUAACAUAGAGUACUCCUUUGUCCCAAAUUAGGAAUAGUAACCUAUAUAUUCUCAAAUAAUAACUUUCUUCCUAUAUAUUAAAGGUUUUUUUUUCCUGAAUCUAAAUUCCCUAAUCAUUUCAUUUUUUGGUUUUAAAUCUAACAAUUCAUGUGUCCAUAAUAAGUACCUUGAUAGUAAUCGUAUGAUGCAUUUUACAAAGGUAAACUCUAAUUUAGAUUUGUUAAUAAUGCUAAGUUGUAUCACUAUAUCUAAAUCAUCAUGAUUAUACAUUUUCUUUGUUAUAAAGGUUAUCAAAGCUUAUAUGCUAAGGAUUCGAACAACUUCAAUUGUACCAUAGUCUUUUGGAUCAUCACAAUUUGAUUGAAUUGUAAGUAGAAAUUAUCUCAUAGUCUUUUGUGAUGAAGCAUUGUGAAUGAUGUCUUAUUUAGAAAUGUCACAAAGAAAGAAUGGCUAUCAGAAAUUACAUUUGUUGAUUUGGUUAUUUCAGGGCCAUUUAAAGGAGAAAAAUGGAGCAUGUUUGGUGUGAAUAUAAUUGGGUGGUGGUGCAUAUCAAUCCAAUACAACAUGUCAUAUUAGUUUUUUC